rnacentral:rRNA from 1 species
UCAGUGAAAUUGAACUCGCUGUGAAGAUGCAGUGUACCCGCGGCAAGACGGAAAGACCCCGUGAACCUUUACUAUAGCUUGACACUGAACAUUGAGCCUUGAUGUGUAGGAUAGGUGGGAGGCUUUGAAGCGUGGACGCCAGUCUGCGUGGAGCCGACCUUGAAAUACCACCCUUUAAUGUUUGAUGUUCUAACGUGGACCCGUUACCCGGGUUGCGGACAGUGUCUGGUGGGUAGUUUGACUGGGGCGGUCUCCUCCUAAAGAGUAACGGAGGAGCACGAAGGUUGGCUAAUCCUGGUCGGACAUCAGGAGGUUAGUGCAAUGGCAUAAGCCAGCUUGACUGCGAGCGUGACGGCGCGAGCAGGUGCGAAAGCAGGUCAUAGUGAUCCGGUGGUUCUGAAUGGAAGGGCCAUCGCUCAACGGAUAAAAGGUACUCCGGGGAUAACAGGCUGAUACCGCCCAAGAGUUCAUAUCGACGGCGGUGUUUGGCACCUCGAUGUCGGCUCAUCACAUCCUGGGGCUGAAGUAGGUCCCAAGGGUAUGGCUGUUCGCCAUUUAAAGUGGUACGCGAGCUGGGUUUAGAACGUCGUGAGACAGUUCGGUCCCUAUCUGCCGUGGGCGCUGGAGAACUGAGGGGGGCUGCUCCUAGUACGAGAGGACCGGAGUGGACGCAUCACUGGUGUUCGGGUUGUCAUGCCAAUGGCACUGCCCGGUAGCUAAAUGCGGAAGAGAUAAGUGCUGAAAGCAUCUAAGCACGAAACUUGCCCCGA